UCAAAGCAAUUUCCGUUCAAGAUUUCCUGACCGCCAGACUAUUAUCCAAGCAUUUUUUGGCACGAGGUUGAAUCUUAAAUGGUGGGUGGUUGAUAACUUGUCCAGGUUGAGAUCGGCCACUGAUGACACGAGUCUGCUACCCUGCUCCUGUGAAGGUUUCUUUUUCUGAAAUUAAAUCAAGUCUCAAGGAAUGAGAUGGAAGCAUUGUUCAGGCUUUAUGAGAAGGUGAACCGCUCUAUCAAUGACGAUGAACUCAUCCAAUUGCACUGUAUUGGGAACAGUUUUACCAUCCGAGGAUACAUCCAAAGUACAGGUGAAUUAGACAUUUCCCUGUGCGAGAUCAAAUGACUUGAGCUUUACAUUGGUUCAACUGUCCCUGCCAUCAAAUAUUAUGUUUGCAAGAUGAACAAGACCUUUGUCACUCCUGG